GACGAACGCUGGCGGCGUGGAUUAGGCAUGCAAGUCGAACGGUAACAGGUCUUCGGAUGCUGACGAGUGGCGAACGGGUGAGUAAUACAUCGGAACGUGCCCGAUCGUGGGGGAUAACGGAGCGAAAGCUUUGCUAAUACCGCAUACGAUCUACGGAUGAAAGCAGGGGACCGCAAGGCCUUGCGCGGACGGAGCGGCCGAUGGCAGAUUAGGUAGUUGGUGGGAUAAAAGCUUACCAAGCCGACGAUCUGUAGCUGGUCCGAGAGGACGACCAGCCACACUGGGACUGAGACACGGCCCAGACUCCUACGGGAGGCAGCAGUGGGGAAUUUUGGACAAUGGGCGCAAGCCUGAUCCAGCCAUGCCGCGUGCAGGAUGAAGGCCUUCGGGUUGUAACUAGCUUUGUACGGAACGAAAGAACUACUUUCUAAUAAAGAAGGUCCAUGACGGUACCGUAACGAAUAAGACACCGGCUAACUACGUGCCAGCAGCCGCGGUAAUCAUA
rnacentral:rRNA from 1 species